GCUGUGUUAUGGGGACCGAAAGGAAGACAGCGUGGCUGCCGCAGAGGGAGGCGGGUGGACAAAGUGGUUAGAAGGCAGAUCAGAGGGUGACAGGGGACUGGGUUAUUUAGCAGCUGGCAUGCCGUGGUAAAGACUUGGAAUUUCUUUUUUUUUUUUUUUUUUUGAGACGGAGUCUCGCUCUGUCGCCCAGGCUGGAGUACAGUGGCGCAAUCUCGGCUCACUGCAAGCUCCGCCUCCCGGGUUCACGCCAUUCUCCUGCCUCAGCCUCCGAGUAGCUGGGACUACAGGCGCCCGCCACCGCGCCCGGCUAAUUUUUUGUAUUUUUAGUAGAGACGGGGUUUCACCGUGGUCUCGAUCUCCUGACCUCGUGAUCCGCCCGCCUCGGCCUCCCAAAGUGCUGGGAUUACAAGCGUGAGCCACCGCGCCCGGCCAAGACUUGGAAUUUCUACCCUGAGUGUGGUGGGGAGCCCUGGCAGGUGCUUCUGUUCAAAGAUGAGAUACAUGUCUACGGCCAUGAUGGUGAAGACCCCUGACAGCACGGUGCCCAUUUUGGCAGUCAUCCCACACCACUGCUGCUGUUUCAUGCUGAGACCUCCUGUGAAGACAAACAACAUGAGGGAGAAUUCUAGUUCCUGCCAACAUGUGGUACCCAAGACAAUGAUGCAUUUUGCAGUUGACAGCACCUUAGAUUUACUCAAUCAUGGAAAUCUGGCAGUGGCAGCCUAGCACUUGGGCAGUAACCUCUGGGGAGUGUGUCUGGGUGGCUAAGAAGAGGGGACUACGGGGAGAGGUCAACAUAAGAGUGUAAACACCAGGAGGCCAGGAUUAUUGAGGCAAACUUGACGCCGGCUAUCACAUCUCUAUAAACGGGGUCUCACUAUGUUGCCCAGGCUAAAGGUAUUACUCUUGGUCAAAGAAAAAAAAGGUGGCUGUCUACGUGGUGGGGAAUAUGAAGACCCUUCACUCCUCAGCGGCAGAGUUCUAAGGAGGGAAGCAGGACCUCCAAAGCGACAUCUCAGCAUUGUACCUGGAGAGGGGACUGGACCCUGAAUACUAGGGAUUCCGUCUUCCCUCCUCCAACCACGGAGAUGGCAAAUUACCAAUGAUGGGCCAAAUCUGGGUCUCACUCUGUCACCCAGGCUGGAGUGCAAUGGCACAAUCUCGGCUCACUGUAACCCCCGCCUCCUGGGCUCAAGUGAUCCUCCCACCUCAGCCUCUGAGUAGCUGGGACCACAGCUGUGUACCACCACACUCCACUAAUUUUUUGUAUUUUUGAUAGAGAUGGGGUUUUGUCAUGUUGCCCAGGCGGCUCUCGAACUCCUGAGCUCAAGUGAUCCACCUGCCUCAGCCUCCCAAAGUGCUGGGAUUGCAGGUAUGAGCUACUGUACCCAGGCGAUGUAUAUUUUAUAAUAUUAAAAAAUGGUGACAUUAAAGAAAAGUUCCAGAAGUACCAAGAUGUAUAAUUCUACCCUCUACCAAAAUUUGCUUAAUUUUUCCACGUUUUCUUCCAAUCUUUGACAAAACCCAUAUAUUCUUAUUGAAAUCAUGCAAAGAUAUUUUAUAUUCUACCUUUUCCCUGCUGUACAUCAUUUCAUACACCUUUUUGAUGUGCUAUGUGUAGCAUUCAAAUCUGCCCUCUUUAAUGGUAUAACAUGGUUCAAGUUUAUAAACUGCACACCUUGAUUUACGUAACUGCCUUCUCAUGUUUAAGUCUUCAUAUUCUUUUCAUUUUCCCUUGUUUAUUAUUGGUUGCAAGGCAAAGAAUAUCUUUGUACACAGAGAUUUUCCCCUUUCUUCUUGCCAGGUACGGUGACUUCUUUUCUUAGAAUAAAUUCUUAGGAAUGAAAUACCUAGUUUUCCCUUCAUCCCCCAAAUUCUAAAAACUUUCUCUUCCUCUCUUUAUUCCUAUAACCUCUUACUUUUUCAGUCUUUUUGUUUAUCCCCUUGCCUUCUCUAAUAUAACUGAUCUCUGCCAUUGGCUCUUACAGUGGUUGUUUAGAUACCAUAAAGCUCUCUUGCUGUUAAACCCCAGCUUGACCUCACUAUCUCUUAGGUGGCCCAACAUUGCACAGUGCACUGUGAGGGCUGCUUCUUGCUCUCAUUUCUUAACCCUUCCCCUCAUCACAGUGUCUACUUCCUUCCUUCCACUCCACUCCUUUGCUAAGGUUAAAGUCUGCCAGUGAUUUCUCUGUAAGUCCAAAGGCUUUUUUCUCUAUUUUUAUCUUCCCACUGGAGCUCCUGUCCUGAAGUGACUUUCCUCCUAUAGUUCUUCAGGCCUUUCUCUUUCCUUUUCUCCCCCUACUCAAGGAUUACCUCUUUCAUAAAACUUUCUCUAAGGGUUGGGAUAUGCCUACCUCUUUUGAGUCCACAGUCAACCCAGGCAUAUCUCAUCCCUUAACUAUACUUUGCCACAUUUUAAGUUGUUUAACCCUCUUUUGAAUGAAGAUUAAGUUGGGGGGGGAGUAAAAACUUGCAGAAGCCUCUACUUACAGUUUCAAAAUAAACUCUUGAGAUAAAUUAAACAAUCACAGGCCAUACUGUGUUAGUAAUAGAAGAUCUACAAAGUGAGGUCCAUGGAUCAGCAGCAUCAGUGUCACCUGGGAGCUUGUUAGAAAUUCUGAGUUGUAGGCUCCACCUCAGACCUCCUGAAUCAGAAUCUAGGUUUUUAAUAUAAUCCUCAGUGAUUCACAUGUGCAAUAUAGUAUAGGAAGCACUGGUCUAGUGGACCAGUGAACAUCUGCCAAGAAGGACCUCCAACAGAAGGCCUCUAAGGACCCCUUGGGAACCUCAAACCAAUGAUUUACACCUCUUGCUGGGCAAGGGUGGCUGCCAUACCUAUCAGCCCUUUGAUGACAGCUACCAACUGAUCUCCUGACUAGGUGGGUGGCCUCCCUCCCUCAUUAUUCCAGGUACAGGCACAUUCCUUUGAAGCUGCAAAAGAAUUUGAAGAAUACAAUCUUUCUCAGAGAAGACUGUUCUUCAGCCGAGGAUGUGGGCAAGGAUGUAGAAUCAUUGGUAAAGUGGACACGUCCUACUAGGGGUUAGGAAACACUGUUUCUAUCAUCUUUCCUAACAAAAAAAUAUGUGAACAACAUAGAAUCGAAAGACAAGAAAUAUUUAUAUUCUUCCUUCUUUCACUCAGCAAAUAUUUACUAAGCACUCACUAUGUUCCAAACACUAUUCUAGGUGCUGUGGAUACAGCAGGGAACAAAACAAAGUCCCAGUCUUAGUGGGGUUCACAAUCUCUAGGGCAGCAGUCCCCAACCUUUUUGGCACCUGGGACCAGUUUCAUGGAAGACAACUUUUCCACGAAAAUUUUGGGGGACGGGGGUUAAAGGAUGAAAUGGUUCCACUUCAAAUCACAAGGCAUUAGAUUCUCAUAAGGAGUGCGCAACGCAACCUAGAUCCCUUGCAUGAGCAGUUCACAGUAGGGUUCAAACUCCUAUGAGAAUCUGAUGCUGCUGCUGAUCUGACAGGAGGCAGAGCUCUGGCAGUAAUGAUUGCAUGCCCACCCACCGCUCACCUCCUGCUGUGCAGCCUGGUUCCUAACAGGCAACAGAUAGGGGGCCUCUAUUUUAAGGGAUGGAGAUGGACAGCAAACAAGUACAUAAUAUGGCCUGUAGUGACAGUGCUUUAAAGAAAAAUAGAGCCAGACAAUAAGACCAAUGGGCAUGGCUGGAGCAGAUUAAGCAAGAAAGAAAGCAUAAUGAGAUGAGACUGGAGAGGUGAGUGGAGCCAAGUCAUGUAGGGUCUUUAAGGAGCUUGGAUUUUAUGCCAAGUACAAUGGGGGCCAUUGCAAGGUUUUGAGCAGAGGAGUGACAUGAUAUGGUCUACAUUUUAACAGGGUGUCUCUGGGCUGGGUGCGAUGGCUCCUACCUGUAAUACUAGCUCUCUGGGAGGCCAAAGGUGGUGAAUUGCCUGAGUUCAGGAGUAUGAGACCAACCUGGGCAACAUGGUGAAACUUCAUCUCUACAAAAAUACAAAAAAAUUAGCUGGCCAUGGUGGUAUGUGCCUGUUAGUCCCAGCUACUCAGGAGGCUGAUGUGGGAGGAUUGCCUGAGCCUGGGAGGUGGAGGUUGUAGUGUGCUGAGAUCAUGUCACUGGACUCCAGCUUGGGUGACAGGGCAAGACCU